rnacentral:rRNA from 1 species
UACGAAGGGUGCAAGCGUUACUCGGAAUUACUGGGCGUAAAGCGUGCGUAGGCGGUUUGUUAAGUCUGUCGUGAAAGCCCUGGGCUCAACCUGGGAAUUGCGAUGGAUACUGGCAAGCUAGAGUACGGUAGAGGAUGGUGGAAUUCCCGGUGUAGCGGUGAAAUGCGUAGAGAUCGGGAGGAACACCCGUGGCGAAGGCGGCCAUCUGGACCAGUACUGACGCUGAGGCACGAAAGCGUGGGGGAGCAAACAGG